CCUACGGGAGGCAGCAGUGGGGAAUAUUGGGCAAUGGAGGAAACUCUGACCCAGCAACGCCGCGUGAAUGAUGAAGGUCUUCGGAUUGUAAAGUUCUUUUCUAAGGGAAGAAGAAAGUGACGGUACCUUAGGAAUAAGCCUCGGCUAACUACGUGCCAGCAGCCGCGGUAAUACGUAGGAGGCAAGCGUUAUCCGGAAUGACUGGGCGUAAAGGGUGCGUAGGUGGUUCAGCAAGUUAGUAGCGUAACUCCGGAGCUCAACUUCGGCACUACUACUAAAACUGUUGGACUUGAGUGCAGGAGGGGCAACUGGAAUUCCUAGUGUAGCGGUGGAAUGCGUAGAUAUUAGGAAGAACACCGGUGGCGAAGGCGAGUUGCUGGACUGUAACUGACACUGAGGCACGAAAGCGUGGGGAGCAAACAGGAUUAGAUACCCUAGUA
rnacentral:rRNA from 1 species